ensembl:lncRNA
CCAUUAAGCAGGGGAUGCUUUAGGGCGGGCGGGGCUACACAGUGAUUGACAGGUUUCUACCACAGUACGCACCGUCUCUGUAACUCUUCUGCAGUCCAAAUAUGGUCACUUCCGUUGCCCCGGUGGCAAAAAAACAACAUGGCGACGGCCAAAUCAGUGAAGUAGAGGCCUCAAAACGUCCUUCCACGCGGCGGCGGGAGGCGUCACGGCGGCUGCGUCCACUUCCUCUCUUCAGCCUGUGACAUCAGGAUGUCCUGCGUCGCUUCUCCGCGCACAUUAAAGUACACAAUCCAUUUCUCAUGAGCUCUCCUGUGAAAAAUCAUCACAUGAAAAUGUGCGCCGCUGUCUGAUCGGCUUACGUAAGCCUGAGUGCCGUAAGCCUAUUUCUAAAUAUAGCUCCUUUACAUAAAAUCUAUUAGCAUGGAGCUAAUGUGUAACAUGAAGAGGACACUUAAUGACCUUUGUGUUCUCGUGGCUGUGCGUUGCCGUCUGCAGUCCCGCGUUACAAAAGGAAAUACAUUAUUGUAUAUGUAAACAAUCAAUAUGUCUGUAUAGUACCUCGGAACACAAACAGAGCCUUAAUGACACAGCACACACACGCCGGGGUCACGUGAUCAACCUUCACAUUUCAAGAACACUGUGAAGCAGCCGGCAGGCUAGUUUGUUUCUUUACAAUCCUCGUGCUAAGCUAAAUUGGCUCCUUAUUUAAGGCUCAAAUAUGAUCCAUAAAUCAUGGUAAUAAUGCUCUUGUUGUCUUUUGGACGACCACGGCACCCCGGUAAUAACGCCACACCACAAGAGAUUAAUAAAAGGAGAUGGACGUCAUUGGGGAGGUCCUCCGACUCCCGCGUGGCUAAUUGGCGCUGCUGCUGGACGUGGUUUCGCCCGCUGGAGGACAGUCCACGAGGACACAUCAUGUCCUCCAGCAGAGACCGGUCCACGAGGACACGCCAGGUCCUCCAGCAGAGACCGGUCCACGAGGACACACCAGGUCCUCCAGCAGAGACCAGUCCACCGAGGACACGCCAGGUCCUCCAGCAGAGACCGGUCCACGAGGACAGACCCACAUCCUUCGGACCUGCAGUCAGAACUCUAAUACUUUUUUCAUCGCGUGCAUCUCUGGGAGCGUCGACACGUUGACGGUCACAUACAGCAGUCUGACCGCCCACAACCUUCUCAGGUGUUUCUUAUUCUUCAUGGACUGAAGAUAUUAAAGAUAUAAAACUACGCUGUUCCAGAAAAGCAAAUGUCAGAGGGAAAACCAAAAUGAACAUGAAUGUCAGGAUGGACGGCGUCUUCUUCUUUGGAAGAGGAUCCAGAAAAGCUUCCUGAUCACCUUUCUUCUUCUUCUUCAUAGCGAGAAGGUCCCACUGGUUCCAGAUGAGGAACAAAGUUCCCGUAGAUCGCUGUAACCACACCCGCUGCCCGCCGGCCCUUUAAGUCGGACCAGAACACUCCAAGGAGCGACAACUGCUUUGUCUUUGAGCGCACAGCAAAUAUUUACAAAGUCUGUUCAACAGGACACGUGACAGUGACCUUUGACCCCCGGUGGAGUCGAGUUCCACACGAGUUUCAAACAUUGAUUUUGGGGAGGGCUGUUUUUCGAGCUUUGUUUACUCGGGUCCGGACUUGCCGGCGACCUUUCACCUGACUGUGAUUCAUUGCCCGUCCCGUGAAACCGCUCCGGAGGCCGGAAGCAUGAAUCACGCACGUAAACUGAUGUGCUACAAAAAGAGUGCGAGCGCCGCGCACACACUUCAGCCGCGGCGUGCACGCGGUGCUCCUGGGCCAGACAAGAAGGUGGGGACGAGAUAUGAAGACCCAGAAGGAACCUGCUAUCGAAGCGGAUUCCUUCCUCUCGUCGGGCCGGAGCGGUCGAUGUAAUUACUCUCCGUCUCUUCAAGCGGCUUCGUGAAUGAAUGAACGUUUGAUUGUUGAUGUUCACAUUUGGGCUUUUUCGCGCACACGACUUUGUGAUUCAGGCCCCUGGAGUUUGUAACGGGGGCUAAAAAUAGAAAUUGGGUUAGGGCGCUGUCAACUAAAUAGUACUAGCCCAAAUCGUUUAAACCGUUUACUGGAUAGGUACUG